GACGAACGCUGGCGGCGUGCUUAACACAUGCAAGUCGAACGGAAAGGCCCUGCUUUUGUGGGGUGCUCGAGUGGCGAGCGGGUGAGUAACACGUGAGUAACCUGCCCUUGACUUUGGGAUAACUUCAGGAAACUGGGGCUAAUACCGGAUAGGAGCUCCUGCUGCAUGGUGGGGGUUGGAAAGUUUCGGCGGUUGGGGAUGGACUCGCGGCUUAUCAGCUUGUUGGUGGGGUAGUGGCUUACCAAGGCUUUGACGGGUAGCCGGCCUGAGAGGGUGACCGGCCACAUUGGGACUGAGAUACGGCCCAGACUCCUACGGGAGGCAGCAGUGGGGAAUAUUGCACAAUGGGCGGAAGCCUGAUGCAGCAACGCCGCGUGCGGGAUGACGGCCUUCGGGUUGUAAACCGCUUUCGCCUGUGACGAAGCGUGAGUGACGGUAAUGGGUAAAGAAGCACCGGCUAACUACGUGCCAGCAGCCGCGGUGAUACGUAGGGUGCGAGCGUUGUCCGGAUUUAUUGGGCGUAAAGGGCUCGUAGGUGGUUGAUCGCGUCGGAAGUGUAAUCUUGGGGCUUAACCCUGAGCGUGCUUUCGAUACGGGUUGACUUGAGGAAGGUAGGGGAGAAUGGAAUUCCUGGUGGAGCGGUGGAAUGCGCAGAUAUCAGGAGGAACACCAGUGGCGAAGGCGGUUCUCUGGGCCUUUCCUGACGCUGAGGAGCGAAAGCGUGGGGAGCGAACAGGCUUAGAUACCCUGGUAGUCCACGCUGUAAACGGUGGGUACUAGGUGUGGGGUCCAUUCCACGGGUUCCGUGCCGUAGCUAACGCUUUAAGUACCCCGCCUGGGGAGUACGGCCGCAAGGCUAAAACUCAAAGGAAUUGACGGGGCCCCGCACAAGCGGCGGAGCAUGCGGAUUAAUUCGAUGCAACGCGUAGAACCUUACCUGGGUUUGACAUGGAUCGGGAGUGCUCAGAGAUGGGUGUGCCUCUUUUGGGGUCGGUUCACAGGUGGUGCAUGCCUGUCGUCAGCUCGUGUCGUGAGAUGUUGGGUUAAGUCCCGCAACGAGCGCAACCCUUGUUCACUGUUGCCAGCACGUUAUGGUGGGGACUCAGUGGAGACCGCCGGGGUCAACUCGGAGGAAGGUGGGGAUGACGUCAAGUCCUCAUGCCCCUUAUGUCCAGGGCUUCACGCAUGCUACAAUGGCUGGUACAGAGAGUGGCGAGCCUGUGAGGGUGAGCGAAUCUCGGAAAGCCGGUCUCAGUUCGGAUUGGGGUCUGCAACUCGACCUCAUGAAGUCGGAGUCGCUAGUAAUCGCAGAUCAGCAACGCUGCGGUGAAUACGUUCCCGGG
rnacentral:rRNA from 1 species